rnacentral:piRNA from 1 species
UGAAGAUGUGGUAAAAGGACAUUCUCGUC